rnacentral:misc_RNA from 1 species
AGCUGAGCUAUCCCGACCAUUCUCAGCGUAGUAAUCUUUAUUAUUUUAGUCGAUGGCUGAGGUCUAUGUCAAUUAAAGGGAAAGGGGGGAUUACAAAUUUUUAUCCAACUACUUAAAUUUAUUUGAUCUUCAAAAGGACCACUUUUUAGGUUUCAGUAUUCGUAAAGCUAUUGAUUGUGAAUCAGUUAAAUUAGGAUUAUUUGCUAAAUUCGGAUGUGUUUCUAUAUCGCAUGGGAGAGUAGAAAGUCAUUUACGCCCAACUACGGUUGUUAAAGAAUCAUAAAAAUCAAGCAAUUUGGAACCGAAAGGAAGAGGGUAGGAUAAAGUUUUUGGGAGUAAACUAGACUUGUUUGGGGAUAGAGGGACUUGAACCCUCACGAGUUUUAAAUCAACGGAUUUUCCUCUCACUAUAAAUUCAUUGUUGCCCGUAUUGACAUGUAGAAGGGACUCUAUCUUUAUUCUGGUCCGAUUGAUCAAUUCUUUAAAAGGUUUAUCGGACUAUGGAGUGAAUGAUUUGAUGAAAACAAUUCGAUUUUUCCUCGAAUGUCGAAUGAAUUCACACCAACUCUUUUUUUCAUAUAAAAAAAUAUAUCUAGAGAUUCGGGCCAUCAUUAAUCAUUUGCUCUAAUAUUCAAUAGAUAGGUUUAUCCUUCAUCCUUUCGAACGUUUUGGUUUUGGUGGAAAGAUUGCUCUACCAGUGCAAUGCCCCCAUUUGUUAGAACAGCUUCCAUUGAGUCUCUGGACCUAUCCUUUUUUUUUUCGUUUUCUGAACUUUUCUUUUGAUAAAACAGGAUUUGGCUCAGGAUUUCCCUUUUUUUUAAUUCCUGGGUUUCCCUGAAUUUGAAAGUUCUCACUUAGUAGGUUUCCAUAC